AUUGAACGCUGGCGGCAGGCCUAACACAUGCAAGUCGAACGAGUGGCGGACGGGUGAGUAAUGUCUGGGAAACUGCCUGAUGGAGGGGGAUAACUACUGGAAACGGUAGCUAAUACCGCAUACCAUCAGAUGUGCCCAGAUGGGAUUAGGUAGUUGGUGGGGUAACGGCUCACCAAGGCGACGAUCCCUAGCUGGUCUGAGAGGAUGACCAGCCACACUGGAACUGAGACACGGUCCAGACUCCGACGGUAGGCAGCAGUUGGGAAUAUGGCACAAUGGGCGCAAGCCUGAUGCAGCCAUGCCGCGUGUAUGAAUAAGGCCUUCGGGUUGUAAAGUACUUGCAGCAGGGAGGCUUUAGCCGCAGAAGAAGCACCGGCUAACUCCGUGCCAGCCGCCGCGGUAAUUC
rnacentral:rRNA from 1 species